UACGUAGGGUGCAAGCGUUGUCCGGAAUUAUUGGGCGUAAAGAGCUCGUAGGCGGUUUGUCGCGUCUGCUGUGAAAACUCGGGGCUUAACCCCGGGCCUGCAGUGGGUACGGGCAGACUAGAGUGCGGUAGGGGAGACUGGAAUUCCUGGUGUAGCGGUGAAGUGCGCAGAUAUCAGGAGGAACACCGGUGGCGAAGGCGGGUCUCUGGGUCGAUACUGACGCUCAUGCACGAAAGCGUGGGGAGCAAACAGG
rnacentral:rRNA from 1 species